AUAUAUCAAACAAUUAUGAUCACGUAAUGUGGUCGAGUGGUAGAAAGACAAAUUUGAAAUACUAAUAUAUUUCAAAUUCCAUUUACUUGAUAUGUAAAAUUAAAUUAAAUUUAUUUUUAGAUAUUUACACGGAUAUGAUUUUUUGUUUAUGGCAUAUUUGCAUAUCCAAAAAGAGAUUCUUAUAAGUGGAAUGCACUUUGUAUUAAAAAAUAGUUUGAUUUUUUAUAAGUUUGAGAUACUUAUAUAUUAAACAAAAAAAAAAGAGAAAGAAAAAGGAAGAAAAAAUAGUGGACGUUGGAUCUUAGGGGUGGGCACUUUACCCGAUAUCCGAAGUGGCACCCGAACCCGAUCCGAAAAACCCGAACCGAAAUCCGAACCGAAGUAGCAAAAUACCCGAACGGAUAUUGAAUAAGGAGAGAUUGGAUAUCCGAACCCGAACGGAUAAUACCCGAACCCGAAUGGAUAUCCGAAGAUAACCGAACAUAUGUAUAAUUAACCUUAUAUUUCUAGUUUACAUCUCUCAUUUUAUAUAAAAUAUUUAUAUUGAUACUACACAUACUUUAAGUUCAUAUGAUAUACAUACAAUUACGGA
rnacentral:lncRNA from 1 species